rnacentral:rRNA from 1 species
AUUGAACGCUGGCGGCAUGCCUUACACAUGCAAGUCGAACGGUAACAGGUCUUCGGAUGCUGACGAGUGGCGAUCGGGUGAGUAAUACAUCGGAACGUGCCUAGUAGGGGGGGAUAACUACUCGAAAGAGUGGCUAAUACCGCAUGAGAUCUACGGAUGAAAGCAGGGGAUCGCAAGACCUUGUGCUACUAGAGCGGCCGAUGGCAGAUUAGGUAGUUGGUGGGAUAAAAGCUUACCAAGCCGACGAUCUGUAGCUGGUCUGAGAGGACGACCAGCCACACUGGGACUGAGACACGGCCCAGACUCCUACGGGAGGCAGCAGUGGGGAAUUUUGGACAAUGGGCGCAAGCCUGAUCCAGCCAUGCCGCGUGCAGGAUGAAGGCCUUCGGGUUGUAAACUGCUUUUGUACGGAACGAAAAGGUUUGGCCUAAUACGCUGAACUCAUGACGGUACCGUAAGAAUAAGCACCGGCUAACUACGUGCCAGCCGCCGCAGUAA